rnacentral:rRNA from 1 species
CAAUAGCGUAUAUUAAAGUUGUUGCAGUUAAAAGCUCGUAGUUGAACUUCGGAACCGGUCGAUUGGUCCGUCCUCUGGAUUGUGUACUGAUCGAUCUGUUCUUCUUCGCGAAGACCGCGUGUGCCCUUAACUGGGUGUGCACGGGAUUCACGACGUUUACUUUGAAAAAUUAGAGUGUUCAAAGCAGGCAUUCGCUUGAAUAUCUCAGCAUGGAAUAAUAGAAUAGGACUUUGGUCUUAUUUUGUUGGUUUCCGAGACCGAAGUAAUGAUUAAUAGGGACAAUUGGGGGCAUUCGUAUUAACGCGUCAGAGGUGGAAUUCUUAGAUUGCGUUACGACGAACUACUGCGAAAGCAUUUGCCAAGGAUGUUUUCAUUGAUCAAGAACGAAAGUAUGGGGAUCGAAGAUGAUUAGAUACCAU